rnacentral:rRNA from 1 species
UGCCAGCAGCCGGGGUAAUACGGAGGGUGCGAGCGUUAAUCGGAAUUACUGGGCGUAAAGCGCGCGUAGGCGGUGAGCUAAGUCAGAUGUGAAAGCCCCGGGCUCAACCUGGGAAUGGCAUUUGAUACUGGUUGACUGGAGUGUGAUAGAGGGUGGCGGAAUUCCCGGUGUAGCGGUGAAAUGCAUAGAGAUCGGGAGGAACACCAAUGGCGUAGGCAGCCACCUGGGUCAACACUGACGCUGAGGCGCGAAAGCGUGGGGAGCGAACCGGAUUAGAUA